AUACGUGUAGGGUGGAGAUGCACAACCGUCGGACUGUGUAGCACUAGGCUUAUAUUUAGACGCUUCAUCUCGUCCACAGUCGCCGGUUGAUUCCUCCUCCUGACUGAGUGCUUAAGUCACCACAGCAAGCAGGAAGCGUACGUCGCGAUACCGCCCAUUUUGGCGGGUAUUGCUGGACACUGGAGUGGCCAACCACUCUUGACGCACCUGACACCGACCGUGAGAAGUCGUGUGUGCCGAACGCCGUUUCCGGCAGCCCGGAAACCGA
rnacentral:ncRNA from 1 species